UACGAAGGGGGCUAGCGUUGUUCGGAAUCACUGGGCGUAAAGCGUAUGUAGGCGGAUCGUUAAGUCGGGGGUGAAAUCCCGAGGCUCAACCUCGGAACUGCCUUCGAUACUGGCGAUCUUCGAGUCCGGGAGAGGUGAGUGGAACUCCGAGUGUAGAGGUGAAAUUCGUAGAUAUUCGGAAGAACACCAGUGGCGAAGGCGGCUCACUGGUCCGGUACUGACGCUGAGGUGCGAAAGCGUGGGGAGCAAACAGG
rnacentral:rRNA from 1 species